rnacentral:rRNA from 1 species
UGGGGAAUAUUGCAUAAUGGGCGCAAGCCUGAUGCAGCCAUGCCGCGUGUGUGAAGAAGGCCUUCGGGUUGUAAAGCACUUUCAGCGGGGAGGAAGGCGAUAAGGUUAAUAACCUCAUCGAUUGACGUUACCCGCAGAAGAAGCACCGGCUAACUCCGUGCCAGCAGCCGCGGUAAUACGGAGGGUGCAAGCGUUAAUCGGAAUUACUGGGCGUAAAGCGCACGCAGGCGGUCUGUCAAGUCGGAUGUGAAAUCCCCGGGCUCAACCUGGGAACUGCAUUCGAAACUGGCAGGCUAGAGUCUUGUAGAGGGGGGUAGAAUUCCAGGUGUAGCGGUGAAAUGCGUAGAGAUCUGGAGGAAUACCGGUGGCGAAGGCGGCCCCCUGGACAAAGACUGACGCUCAGGUGCGAAAGCGUGGGGAGCAAACAGG